CUAAAUCUGUUUGUUCGAAAAGUUUUCUCUCUCUACAAAUUGCUCUCUGCCCUCUUUCUAUCUGCAAGCAAAAGGAAGCCAAAGGCCAGCUGUGGCCCCGAUGCCCCCGCCCCCUGAACCACCUGAUCCCUUACCCCUUUUUAACCAAUGAGAAAUCGACAAGAAUCCUUCCCUCCACUGUUCCAAUGGCUACUUCCUCUUCUACCGCCCCAACGUCGCCCACGGAGACCAUAAUUCCGGCCAAAAAUCAACCUGUCUCUGUAUCUCAGCAACCUAAUCCCAACUACAACUCAGCUCUAAUCCUUCUUCUAAUAUGAACCAAGACCAAAGUUUCUCACCCUAAUCAAAAAAUACCCCUAAAAUUUCCUCCAAUUUUGAUCCCCCUCAAAGACACAUUAAUGCUCAACAAAUUGAUCAGCCCCUCACAAGUUCUAAUCCUGCCAAUAACAGUGACAAUAAUCUAAAAAAUCAAACCUGGCCUCCCCUCUCUGUUUCAAAGCCUUCUUUUGCUUCUACUGUUAGUGCAUCACUAGCUGAUAGUGUUGUUGGAAAGCAACCAGUUGAUAUUACAAUGGAACUCAUAUGGGUAAGCCCGCAGUUUAUUCACAACUUAAGAUCACUUUGUCAACCUUGCGGAAGACUGUAAGCGCACCAUUGAUGGAAAAUUUACAAGAGGAAAACCAAGCAUGGAAGAAGUUCGAAAACUCUUUGUUAGUCAUGUUCCAUUGAAAGGUAGCAUCAAAAUUGCUUACUUUGAUCUUAGCCACGUUUACAUCGACUUUAUAAAUGAUCUAUAUUUUUUACCAUGUAUAUUUUAUGCCUUCCAUUACUCUUAGUCCUUAUAGUUUGAAGAUCAUUAGAUGGACCCUCAAUUUUGUACCCGAGAAUGAGACCACUAUAGCUCUUGUUUGGAUGUUAAUCCAUCAACUUCCUUGGGAACUUAUUUAGAUGGGAUAUUCUUUCCUGAACGGUUAGCUAUAUAGGGACUGCUAUGGCUCCAGAUAUUGCUACCUACUCCAAAUCAAGGGGUAAUGUGGUGAAACUUAAAGUCAAAAUCGAUUUGCUAAACCCAAGCAAGAUCAACUUUGGGUGGCUUUAAGAGAUUGGAUUCUGCCGUCGAAGAUGGUUAUUGUUUAGAUAUUGAAUAUGAACGAGCUCCUUCAUAUUGUCUUUAUUGUGCGAUGCAAGGUCAUGAUCAAAGUUCUUGUAGAAACAAAAAGAGAGAUGAAACUUUCAAGUCUAAAAGAGAUCCCUAGCAAGGAGGUUGACAAUGAACAAUGGGAACUUCCUAAAAAAGCUAAAAGGAAUGCUCACAAUACAAUGAUGAAGGGCUAAUGCAAACUGGUCAAAAUCCUCAAAACAACAACAAUGGAGCUCGGCAGGAUUCACUACACGACAUCAAUACUCAUCAACUUAAUACCAAGUUUUUCCAUAACCAAAAUGAUUCUGACUUGUAUGUUUAAAAGGUCUGCUUCUCACAAGAACAAUGACACUGGAAAAGACAAAAAAAGAAAGAAAGUUCAAUACCUAUACAAAACACUUCCCAGAUGAUACUCAACCAAAGCAACCAAGAAAAUACAAAGCAAAAUUCUUCAGCUUCUUUACACAGAACUCAACCUAGUACUACCCAACCUCCUAUUUUUAAUCAAAUUCGAGGUACAUCAAACCAAAUUUCUGAUACUAGCAACACCCAAGAAGCUUCCGAUCCCAAAAACAUUAUACAAAGCCAUAUUCAAAUGCCUAGCCAAUCUGACCGUGUGAACAACACCUUUCAAGCCAGUAAAAUGGAUUACAAUUUUGAAGGAUAACUGUCAAAAAAUACCGCAACACAAACCCCCGAAUCCCCCACAAGACCAUAGUUCCAACAAAUAUGAAGCAAGAAAUCCCACAAGGUUGAACAUACAUAAGAAAUGAUGUUUCUGACUAUAAAAGUUAUAAUGACGUGGCUUUUGAUUUUAUGACAUCCAACCAAGAAUCAGACAACGAUGAUGAUGAAAAUCUUAUUGUUAGUGAUACUGAAGAUGAGUAUGAAAGUAUGGAGGACAAAGCUAACUCUAGUGAAGACAGUCUAGAUAAUAUCUCUACAAAUAAUGAUGAUACUACUAUCCAACAUGUUGAAACAUUUGUUUCUCAAUAUAUCCCUUAAAUUGAAAUUGACCAAGCUUUUGACGAUAUAUCUGACAAGCAUACCCUAUAUCCCAGAGGAUUAGAAUCUACAAGAGGAGGUUAGCCAUAUAGAGGAGGUAGGACAGGUCGACGAGGCAAAGGUAUUCCUUCUGUUAAAUACUCACAGAACAAUGAUUAUCUAUGUGCAACUUUUUAAUGAUUAAGUCCACUUAUUUGGAAUCUUAGAGGCAUCAAUUCUCAAGGUACCUUUGACAGACUUAUUCAACUUAAAAUAACUCAUAAUCUCAGCUUCAUUGCAGUUACAAAACCUUUCUUUAAUAGCUCUAAACUGCAUAGGUAUAAAAGAAGAUUGGGUUUUGACUUCGCUUAUGCCAAUCUCAAUAAUAAAAUUUUGAUCUUUGGAGAAGAUGCUCUGGAGUGCAAUGUUAUUGCUGACAAUGACUAAAUUGUCACGUGUUGGUUCAUCCUUAUACAUCUCUAUUGUGUAUGCCAAAUGUAAGAUGCAUUAUAGGCAAGAUCUUUGGGAUGAUAUUAAGACCUUUGCUACUGUGAACUCUUCUCCUUGGAUGGUGAUAGGAUAUUUUAAUUCCAUUAUUACUCUAGAAGAAAAGAAGGGUGGUAAUUCUCAUAACAUCUCUAAAUUCCUUUUAUCAAUUGUAUAUUGGAUAGUAGUCUUCUUGACAUAGGUUUCAGUGGCUCUCACUACACUUGGUGUAACGGUCGGGCUCCUAAAAGAAGGAUCUGGGCUAGAUUGGAUAGAGCGCUUGUCAAUUCUGAGUGGAUCCAAAUAUUCUCAGAAUCAUCUGUUGAGCAUUUAGUUAGAACCGGAUCUGACCAUGCUCCUAUGUUAAUAUCCAUUUCCAACUCUCUAAGGGAACCGAAGAAAUAUUUUCGAUUCCUUGAUUUCUGGACAGAAGAUGAAGGUUUUAUGCAAAUAGUUGAAGAUGCUUAUAUCAUUCAUGUUGAAGGGAGCCCUAUAUGGAAAUUUCAUCUCAAGCUUAAGAAUGUUUGUAAAAGUCUCUCACACUGGUCUAGAAACACAAUUGGUACCAAAGAGCUUCAAUCUAAGCUUGAAAUACUGGAGCAAAAUUGUUUGACUAAUAAUUCUGAGGCUAACCAAAUGAAGUAUGAUUGCAUUAAUGCUUUUCUCAUUAGGCACAUUAAGAAGGAAGAAUCUUUUUGGAGACAAAAGGCCGGUCUCAAAUGGUUUAAAGAUGGGGAUGAUAACACUAUGUUUUUUCAUUCUGUUAUUAAAUCUAAAAGGAAAAAGUUACAUCUUUCUAGAAUUUAAAAGAAAUAUGGCACAUGGCUUAAUAACACUGAUGAUAUUGCCCGUUUUGUUCUUUGAGCAAUAGUUCUCCCAAGAAACCACUUGUAGAGAUUAUUCUAUUCUUAGAAAGUUGUGGAGAGUGGUAGAUGAAGAUGGCAACAGAAUGUUAAUAGAACUCCGGAACAUGGAAGAGCUCAAAGAAGUUGUUUUCUCCAUGAGCAGUGUUAGUCCUUCUGGUCCAGAUGGCAUUUCAGGGACCUUUCAAAUGUUUUUGUUGUCACAAUGGAAUGAAUGAGGACAUCAACCACCUCUUUAGCUAUGGUCAAAUAGCGGAGUAAGUUUGGAAAUUUUUUGAAGAUACUUUGGGACUGCUCUGGCCUAAUUCUGAUAGCAUUCGUACUAAGCUUAUGAGAUGGUGGCGUAUUAAAUAUACCAACAAAGUGCUUAAAUUGACCACUCAAUGCCUUCCUUCUGUGAUUUGCUGUGAAUUAUGGAAACGUAGAUGCACUUAUAAAUAUGAAGGCAACAAAAUUUUGUCUGGCAACAUUAUUCUUCAAGCUACAUACCACAUUCAUUUGAUCCUCACUUCCCAGUUCCCUUCACUAAAGUUUCCCACAAAAUUCCGAAGCAUUUGUCGGAUGAUGGAGAAUAUCAAGCCUAAGGUUUAUAUCAACCCCGUCCUAUGGAGUAAGCCUAAUUACGGAGAACACAAGCUUAAUAUUGACGGUUGCUCUAAGGGCAAUCCCGGAAUUGCCGGUGGUGGAGGUAUUUUGACGAAUCAUAUGGGUCAUAUGAUCAUGGCUUUCACAACAUAUUUUGGUCACUCUUCUAACAACUUGAACAAGGCACGUGCUAUCAAUAUUGGAUUGAAAUGGUGUAUUGAUCACGGUUUCAAUAUUCAUACUAUAGAAUUUGAUUCCUUGACUGUGAUUAGCAUGAUCAACAAAGCUGCAACUACAAUAUGGAGCAUUAAGGAGGAAACUAAUGACAUCCAUAAUAUGAUUUCAAAGGAAAAGUUUCAGUUCAUUCAUAUAUUUAGGCCUAGGGAAAGAAAUAUCACUGUUGAUCUCUAGGCCAACUUUGCGGAGCUUGAUUGGAAAAAUGACUUCUUCACUGAAACUAUACACUUACCAAGGAAGAUUGUAGUCACUAAGAAAAAUGAUGAAGAAGCUCGUCCAAACUUUAGAAUCAGAUUAAGGAAAAACACUUUUAUCUUCGACCCUGGUUGAGCUCUUCUUGAAUGGUACUAGGUAUUCUAUCCUAUACUUUUUUGGAAGCCUAAUUGUACUAGGAACAAUCUUCCUCUUUUGCUUUACUUUUGGAAGCUAAAAUUGUAAGCAUAACUUACCAUUCUAGCUACUCUUGUAUGAGGUAAGGUUGGUCCUCCUCCGUAACCUUUUGCUUUGAAAUGGAAUCUUCUUUGCUGUUUUUAAAAAAAAAAGCUUAAAUCAUUAUCAACCAUUCAAAUUGUAUUAUUGUAUGAAAUUAUUCAUGUGGAAGUUGUUGCUCCAUACAUUAUAUGACACAUUUUUAUGUUAAGACUAUUUGAUUAAAAUAAAAGUUCUAUUUAAAUGCCUUCUUCUACUAAUUUUUGGCACGUCAUUUGUGUCACAUUAAUGAUCGUUAUGAUGGAAUCAUGAGUAGUGUUGGAUUAACCCCAGCAACUAAAAAGAAUUUGAAAAAUGUGAGGCUUGUAGUAAAGUUAAAAAUCACAAAAACUCUCAUUUUCAAGUUAAGAAAAAGAACUAAUUUAUUAGAAUUAAUUCAUACUGAUAUUUAUGAACUUGGUGAAAUUUCAACUCGUUUCCCUGGUUUUUGGGUCCCAAUCAAAACGUGUAAAGUUUGAGAGUAAGUUGGUGAAAUUUCAACUCGUUUCCCUGGUUUUUGGGUCCCAAUCGAAACGUGUAAAGUUUGAGAGUAAAUUGUAAUGCUAUUUGAAUAAUAUUUACUCCUGACAUGACAAAAAUUAAAUUCAAUAAAGAACAAGUAGUGCCAACUCCACAACAUUUUGCUUUAGCAAUUCCCACAGUGGCUACAAAGUGGAAAAAUGUAUUUCCACAAAAACUAGAGUAUAAAUGAGCAGGUCUAAUUUUGUGUCAAAAACAAAAGCAAGUGUGGACUAAGGGAAUUCUGUUGUAUUGUAUGGAGCAUCUUGUUCAGCAAGUUUCAGAGGUAUGUUCCGUAAUGCCUUGUAAACUGGACUGGUGUCAACUGAAGCCCAAUGGCUGGGCAUUUUGGAGUAUAAAAGACGACGAUGAGUUGCAGUACCAGCAAACAAUCUGUGAGUCAGUUGUGAAUAUCAAACUAUUUUUGCUUCUUUUGUUUUUGUUUUGAAUCUUAUCUUCUUGAUCCAGCUGCUACUGAUUCUGUUGUUUCCACAUCUGCAAUGGUGAAAUUGAGGAUCAAAUGUCUUAUGGCUAAAAUAUUGAUUCCAUAUAUUUCUCUUGUUCAAUUCUGGUUAACCCAUCCAGGUCAAUGGAUCGACUUUCCUGUCAACUGCGGAUCAACUAUUUGUUUUCAAUGAGGAAAUUGAUAAGAGACUUUCUUCAUACAGGAGGCUCUGUCUCGAUACUUGGAUUCCCAUUGAUUACUACAAGGAGGCUCUGUCUCGAUACUUGGAUUCCCAUUGAUUACUACAAGGAGGCUCUACUUGCCCCCCUGUGCGAGUUUUCAGAAGAUGGUUGCCAGAAUAUAACCCCGACGUCCAAAGGCAGAGUUUCCACUGCUUCAAACUGCAAUUAGCUUGGGAUUACAUUCUUAUUAUGCAUUUCCACUUCUCGAACUCCCUGAUCAGCGGUGCCUUGGUGUAUUUGAGAUUGUAUCUACAAAACCAUCUCUCCGUCUUCCCAAUCUUAUUAAGCCGUUGGACGAUGAUAGAAUUGACAAUAUAGAGGAAGGGUUAUAUGAGAUCCUUCAAAGACAUAGUUGUAUUCCCUUUGCACAAAUUUGGAUUCCUUUUUCUCCAUCUGCCUCUUUGAAAGUGUUGUAUCGUGCUGCUGCUGUCAAGGAUUAUUCGAGUUUAAUGUAUGAUGAGUUUGAAUAUGCUUCUGAGGUCUGCUUUAUUGCAAGCGGUGAGGCAUUGGUGGGGAGGGCAUUUGCAUCCCAAGGUUCAUGCUUUUGCAAAGAUGUUACUCUAGUAAGCAUCAAAGAGUACCCUUUGGUGUCUAGUGCACGAAAUGCUAGAUUCACUCAGAGUUUUGCUAUUUGUUUGCAAAGUAAAUGCACCAACAAUUUUAUUUGCGUAGUUGAGUGCUUUCUGCCACCCAAUGAAAUGGUUGUUAGAGAUACAAAGACUUUCUUAAACAUGCUUUUAUACACAAUGAAAGAGCAACUUCCCGGUUUCAUAGUUGCUUCUGGAAAUGAACUAGGGCAGAGGAUGAUCGUUGAAGUUGUUAAAGUUACCCCAAGUGAUGAACUUGACUCCUUUGAAAUUGGCCAACCUCUGUCAAGUGUUCAACCAGUUCAGGAUGGAGGAGAAACAACAGAAAUGGAUUCUUUCUGUCAACAGUCAAAUUUACAGAACGGGGAGAAUAAUGGUGCUAAUGCACUGCUGGUUUCUUCCUGCUUAUUACACAAGAGUGACUCACUCAACUGUGAAGAGACAGUGGAAGUUCAUCCGUUACUUCCUCAUCCAAUAGAGGAAGCCGUGACAAACAGAGGAAUAGGUAACGUGGAUGUAGUAGCACAUGAUGACCAUAUUGAAGAUACAAGUGAAAUGACGCAACUUGAUUCACACUCUGAGCAACCUAAUUUAGAAAUUAAUUCUGCGGCAAAUGCAAGGACUAACAAUGACAAUAUCCAUUUGACAUAAGAACAUCGCAAUACAAAGGAUAGGAAAAGAUCAUGGGAUUACUCGCAAGAUUCUGGAGCAGCAUUUUGGCUUGACUCUUCAAGAUGCUGUCAAAAAUCUACAUGUUAGUCGAGCAACACUGAAACGAAUAUGUAGAGAAUAUGAAAUCACUAGAUUAGUGGUUGCCCCAGAAGCUGAAACAUGAAGGAUUUUCUGUAAGUUUUGUGAUGGUUCAUCUUCAUUGCAGAACAUUAGUGAUGUUAUCUUUUGGUUACAUGGUGUUUGUCUCUUCCCUGAGGUGUUGUUAACAGCAAAGGUAAAAUAGACACAAAAGAAUAAAUUAUCUCUUAAUUUUUCAAACUAAACAAGUAUUGUUGGAUAACUAUUUUUAGUAUAGUAAAUAAGUAAAAAUGAAAGGAGAUAAUAUGUGUUGUUUAAAUUAGUUGACUUGUUGUGUACAAAACUUGUAUUAAAGUGAAUUUUUCUUUUUGAAAAGAGUUCAUCACUGUCAUAUAAA